UAUUAAAAAUUUCAUAUAUUUUUAUUGUUUAAAACUGACAUAAUUAAUAAAAUAAUUAAACAAUAACACAUGCCAUGACAUGCGUAUCUUAUAUUGACAUACAAUGAUCAACUUUUAACGGUAAAAAUGGAUAAAAAUUUUAACU
rfam:Gossypium raimondii Chr07_contig_93, whole genome shotgun sequence.